GAAAUGCGAUAAGUAGUGUGAAUUGCAGAAUUCAGUGAAUCAUCGAAUCUUUGAACGCACAUUGCGCCCCUUGGUAUUCCAUGGGGCAUGCCUGUUCGAGCGUCAUUUGUACCCUCAAGCUCUGCUUGGUGUUGGGUGUUUGUCCCGUCUCCGCGCGUGGACUCGCCCCAAAGUGAUUGGCAGCCGGCGUACUGGUCCCGGAGCGCAGCACAUGUCGCGCAAACGAGUGCCUUGGUACGGCGGCGUCCAUAAGCCCCUCUCUCACGCUCUUGACCUCGGAUCAGGUUGGGAUACCCGCUGAACUUAAGC
rnacentral:misc_RNA from 1 species